rnacentral:rRNA from 1 species
GACGAACGCUGGCGGCGUGCUUAACACAUGCAAGUCGAACGGAAAGGCCCUGCUUUUGUGGGGUGCUCGAGUGGCGAACGGGUGAGUAACACGUGAGUAACCUGCCCUUGACUUUGGGAUAACUUCAGGAAACUGGGGCUAAUACCGGAUAGGAGCUCCUGCUGCAUGGUGGGGGUUGGAAAGUUUCGGCGGUUGGGGAUGGACUCGCGGCUUAUCAGCUUGUUGGUGGGGUAGUGGCUUACCAAGGCUUGGACGGGUAGCCGGCCUGAGAGGGUGACCGGCCACAUUGGGACUGAGAUACGGCCCAGACUCCUACGGGGGGCAGCAGUGGGGAAUAUUGCACAAUGGGCGGAAGCCUGAUGCAGCAACGCCGCGUGCGGGAUGACGGCCUUCGGGUUGUAAACCGCUUUCGCCUGUGACGAAGCGUGAGUGACGGUAAUGGGUAAAGAAGCACCGGCUAACUACGUG